rnacentral:lncRNA from 1 species
AACGAAGCAACUAAUUCGCAAAUAUUAGGAAAAAUAUUUGAAUAUUCGAAGUUCCGAAUACUCGAAAAUUUACGAAGCGAAGCAAAUAGCAAAAUCAACUAUUCGGUCGAAGCGAAGCAAAUCACAAAUAUCACAAAAGGAGUGAUGAAAAAGAUUAGUGACGGUGAUUUUUUUUUCUUUUUUUUUUCUUUUGUCUUUUUCUUUUUUCUUUUUUCCUUUUUUUUCUUUUUCCUAAACGUAUUUCUGUUAAAUGUUCAAUAAUAAUUAUAUAAAGUUAGAUUAAUAUUUAAUUAUUUUACCUAUGAACUUAUAAAUUUUAAAAUAUUUUAAUAUUAGCUUUUACAUUAAAAUUAUCAGUAUUAUGAUACAUAAAUUAAUUAAUAUAAU